ensembl:lncRNA
AUUUUCACCACUGCCUGGACAGUUGAGGCAACAGAGGCACAGGGAGGUGGAGUGCCUUUUCCUAGGGUUUGUUUUUUUGAGACAGGGUCUUGCUUUCUCACCCAGGCUGGAGUGCAGUGGCACAAUAAUGGCUGAAUGCAGCCUUGACCUCCCAGGCUUAGCAAUCCUCCCACCUCAGCCUCCUGAGUAGCUGGGACUACAGUUGUGUGCCACUACACCAAACUAAUUAUUAUUAUUUUUUUUAGAGAUCAGGUCUUACUGGUCGGUCUCGAACUCCCAGCCUCAAGGAAUCCUCCCACUUUGGCCUCCCAAAGCGCUGGGAUAACAAGACUGAGCCGUCUGUGCCCAGCCCCUGGGGUUUCUUGAUUGCCAGUGAAGCAUACCUCAUUACCCUUGGGUCUUCAAAACAAUGAGAGCUAGACAGGAAAAGAUAAAUAAAUCAUAAGAAAAUAAGAGACAUGUAAAAGUGCUGUGUCAAUUGCUAUUCAUUUAAUAACUAUUUUAGCUUAAUAUGUUGUGGCUUUGAAGCAGUCAUUCAUUAAGCUGAAUUUCUCUGGCCACCUACACACCAUGUGGUCAGGCGCUGUGCUAAGCAGCAGCUAUUCACCCUGAGUGCCCAGUAUAGGCCAGGGUGUGGCCCGUGUGGCUCCGGGUGGGGCCACUCAGUCUGCAGGGUGGAGGGAGUGGACUUGGAGAGAAGAGGGCAUUUGGAGUCAGUUGCCUGGAGUUGGCGAGAACCACAGCCCCCAUGGGGCUCUCUGUUGUCUGCCCCAUGAAGGGUCUUAGUGCUCUGCAGAGUCACCGUCCGUCCUUACGCUCACACAGCCAGUAUUGCUCUGGGUUCCUGGGAGGCCUCCUGCAGGGCAUAGGACAGUGCCCGCCAACAGAGUCACAGCGAGUCCAGUGAUCAUCUCUUGGUGAUGUAAAAUGGCUCCAGGGGUGACCGGUCUGUUGGGUGGUCUUCGCAAACAGGAAGUUUCCAGAUGCCAGAAAGUGGUUCUCACUUCAUGCCUUGGAAUAUGUGUGAGGGGCAUCCACACAGCUAAAGAAGGCAGCUGGAUGUUUCAGUGGGGGUGUUGGCUGGGAUCUAGUUCCAGCCUUGCCACUUUUCUGUGUGGCGUUGGGCAAGUCACUUCUCCUCUUUGAGCCUCAGUUUCCUUGUGUGUGGAGUAAACUGUUUGUUGGAGAGGAAGUCUGGGUAGCCUGCCUGUUUCGAGUCCCUGCGACCUGCAAGAUCUUUGAGAACCUGGACUCAGGACCCAGAGAGAUCCUGGGCAAGUCACUUACCGUCUCAGUGCUGGAUUAACAGUGAAAUAGCAAAACGCCUGCUUCUUUAGGUUUUGUGAGGAGUAAAUGGAUGAGUACGUGUAAAGUGUCUGGAACAGCGUCUGGCCCGUGGUAAGCAGUCAGUUAGUGUCAGCUUGCACUCUGGGUGCUUUGACAGCAAAGAACGGGGCCUCCCUGAGGCGAGUGGUGUGUCUUACUCAUCUCUGUGUCCUCAGCACCUGGUGUGGGACCUGGCAGGCGCUGGCUGAAAUGAGAGUUGAAUUAAAAUUCCGUGAAGAAACA